GUCCGGUCUUAAGUGUACGCUGUCAUGUUCUGAUGUCACUUGCUAAGUUGAUACAUCACUGGUAAAUUGCUGGUCAACGUUGUGUGGAUAGUCCUGCUCACUUUUUGAAUAAAAACAGCCAAAUCUGCUACAGAACAAAUGGAAGGAGUGCAGACCUGCGAGAGCUGUGAAGGCUGAUAAGGUUCAAUGAUGAAAGCUUUCGUGUUCCUGUUUUUCACUGCACUGGGUCUCGGCUCUGCUGAAGUAAGGGUGAACCAGAGAACAGAUAAAGACCAGUAUACUGAAGAAGACUCGGCGACAUUUCAGUGCAACAUCACGUUUGAUAUGGAGAAUGUUCAAAAUUGUGUACUGGAAUGGGUAAUCGAGGAUCCAGAUAAUAAAGAUGAAAUAAUAGAGAUGCAUGAGUUCCCGAAGUUUGAAGGACGAGUUCAAAUCAACUCAAACAGCACCCACAGCUCCAUGAUAUUGAAAAGCCUGACAACAAACGACACAGAUGUUUUCCUCUGUUCUGCAACAUGUACCAUAGAUCAGCGAUUAAAAGUAAUCCUUGGGAAGAAAACCAAACUGAAAGUAAAAGGUUUUGGCUCAGUAAGCAUGAACCAGAGCACAAAUAAAGACCAGUAUACAGAGGGGGAAUCAGCGACAUUUCAGUGCAACAUCACGUUUGAUGCGGAGAAUAUUCAAAGGUGUUCACUGGAAUGGGUAACAGAGGAUCCACACAAUAACAAUGAAAUAAUAGAGAUGCAAGAACUGCCGAAGUUUAAAGGACGAGUUCAAAUCAACUCAAACAGCACCCACAGCUCCAUGAUAUUGAAAAGCCUGACAACAAAUGAUACAGAUGUUUUCCUCUGUUCUGCAACAUGUACCGUAGAUCAGCGAUUAAAAGUAAUCCUUGGGAAAAAAAUCAAACUGAAAGUAAAAGCACAAAUCCAGUCAGAAGCCUGGCUGCACUAUCUAAUCUUUGGCAUAAAUCUGCUGUUUUUCAUAGUUGCCACGAUUAUUUGUGUGUCCAUUCAUCGAAAUCGUACAAGAAGAAGGAACGACACAGAUGAAUAAUGUUUCUCUUUUCUUACAGA